GGGUGUCUUCGACCCAGGGUCGCAGGCAGGAUUGCGUUGGUCGGGCCGCCAACG
rnacentral:ncRNA from 2 species